UACGUAGGGGGCGAGCGUUGUCCGGAGUUACUGGGCGUAAAGGGCGUGCAGGCGGUGCAGUAAGUUUGGAGUGACAGUACCUGGCUUAACUGGGUAAGGACUUUGAAAACUGCUGGACUUGAGGGCCAGAGAGGGACAUAGAAUUCCGGGUGGAGUGGUGAAAUGCGUAGAUAUCCGGAGGAAUACCAAAGGCGAAGGCAGUGUCCUGGCUGGCAUCUGACGCUGAGGCGCGAAAGCUAGGGGAGCGAACAGG
rnacentral:rRNA from 1 species